UACGGGGGGGGCAAGCGUUGUUCGGAAUUACUGGGCGUAAAGGGCUCGUAGGCGGCCAACUAAGUCGGACGUGAAAUCCCCAGGCUCAACCUGGGAACUGCGUCCGAUACUGGAUGGCUUGAAUCCGGGAGAGGGAUGCAGAAUUCCAGGUGUAGCGGUGAAAUGCGUAGAUAUUAGGAAGAACACCGGUGGCGAAGGCGGCCCACUGGCCCAUUACUGACGCUGAGGCUCGAAAGCGUGGGGAGCAAACAGG
rnacentral:rRNA from 1 species